UCUCUUGCCAUUUGUAUGGGCCUGUAUCAAAUGUUAUAAUGAGAGCCCAGAGCUGUUUCACAACUGCAGAUUUUGAUGUUUUUUUCCAGUUUCCAUUGGAUAUUAGGCCCACUAAAUUGGUGGUUCAUGUUUAUCAUGCAUCUGAAUUGAACAAUUGAGUUCCAAAUACGUUACAAAAUUGUUGCUUCUCUCAGCUAGGCAUCAUUCUUGACUAACAUGUGACAUGUAAUUUGUUUCGCUCUUAUUACGUUGUGAAGAAUGCUUAUCUCUGAAACUCCAUUUGUCACUUGACAUUUCUAUCUGUAGACGGCAAGAGAAGACCAUUACGAAGCUUGUUGUUGAUACGGAGACAGAUAAAGUUCUUGGAGCAUCCAUGUGUGGGCCGGAUGCGGCUGAGAUUAUGCAGGUAUCGGUUGUCUUUGUCCAACAUUUCAUGAAGUUCUUGAGCAGUAGCUACAUAUAGGUUUGAAUCCCUCAUUUGUUAAUUCACAUGGAACUUGAGGCUUACUAUUUUUGUGUUUUAUUUAGAUCAUCAACAGAUAGUGAUAUUUAGGGAAGCCCUGAGCAUCGAAAAUCUGAAAUUCUCAGAGUUCCAUAUUGAGUUAAUUCUUUAGUCCUAUAUUGCCAUGCAAAAAAUAAAAUAAAAA